UCCCAAGUAAGGUACCUGCGGUCGUCGGC
rnacentral:piRNA from 1 species